CAGGCUUAACACAUGCAAGUCGAACGCCCUCUUCGGAGGGAGUGGCAGACGGGUGAGUAACGCGUGGGAACCUACCUAUCAGUAUGGAACAACAGUUAGAAAUGACUGCUAAUACCGUAUACGUCCUUCGGGAGAAAGAUUUAUCGCUGAUAGAUGGGCCCGCGUUAGAUUAGCUAGUUGGUGAGGUAAUGGCUCACCAAGGCGACGAUCUAUAGCUGGUCUGAGAGGAUGAUCAGCCACACUGGGACUGAGACACGGCCCAGACUCCUACGGGAGGCAGCAGUGGGGAAUAUUGGACAAUGGGCGAAAGCCUGAUCCAGCCAUGCCGCGUGUGUGAUGAAGGCCCUAGGGUUGUAAAGCACUUUCAAUGGUGAAGAUAAUGACGGUAACCAUAGAAGAAGCUCCGGCUAACUUCGUGCCAGCAGCCGCGGUAAUACGAAGGGAGCGAGCGUUGUUCGGAAUAACUGGGCGUAAAGAGUACGUAGGCGGAUUGAUUAGUUAGGGGUGAAAUCCCAAGGCUCAACCUUGGAACUGCCUUUAAUACUGUCAAUCUAGAGAUCGAGAGAGGUGAGUGGA
rnacentral:rRNA from 1 species